rnacentral:rRNA from 1 species
UACGAAGGGGGGCUAGCGUUGCUCGGAAUCACUGGGCGUAAAGCGCACGUAGGCGGCUUUUUAAGUCAGGGGUGAAAUCCUGGAGCUCAACUCCAGAACUGCCUUUGAUACUGAGAGGCUUGAGUCCGGGAGAGGUGAGUGGAACUGCGAGUGUAGAGGUGAAAUUCGUAGAUAUUCGCAAGAACACCAGUGGCGAAGGCGGCUCACUGGCCCGGUACUGACACUGAGGUGCGAAAGCGUGGGGAGCAAACAGG